ACGCACGCUGGCGGCAGGCCUAACACAUGCAAGUCGAGCGAGGACUUCGGUUCUAGCGGCGGACGGGUGAGUAACGCGUGGGAAUGUGCCCUUCUCUACGGAAUAGCCCUGGGAAACUGGGAGUAAUACCGUAUACGCCCUUUUGGGGAAAGAUUUAUCGGAGAAGGAUCAGCCCGCGUUGGAUUAGGUAGUUGGUGGGGUAAUGGCCUACCAAGCCGACGAUCCAUAGCUGGUUUGAGAGGAUGAUCAGCCACACUGGGACUGAGACACGGCCCAGACUCCUACGGGAGGCAGCAGUGGGGAAUCUUAGACAAUGGGGGCAACCCUGAUCUAGCCAUGCCGCGUGAGUGAUGAAGGCCUUAGGGUUGUAAAGCUCUUUCAGCUGGGAAGAUAAUGACGGUACCAGCAGAAGAAGCCCCGGCUAACUCCGUG
rnacentral:rRNA from 1 species